CCUACGGGUGGCAGCAGUGGGGGAUAUUGCACAAUGGGGGGAACCCUGAUGCAGCGACGCCGCGUGGGUGAAGGAGCGUUUCGGCGCGUAAAGCCCUAUCGGCAGGGAAGAAGAAGGACGGUACCGGAAUAAGAAGCACCGGCUAACUACGGGCCAGAAGCCGCGGGAAUACGUAGGGGGCAAGCGUUAACCGGAUUUACUGGGUGUAAAGGGGGCGCAGACGGCAGCGGAAGCCGGGAGUGAAAGCCCGGGGCCCAACCCCGGGACUGCGCUUGGAACUGCGCGGCUGGAGUGCAGGAGGGGCAGGCGGAAUUCCUGGUGUAGCGGUGAAAUGCGUAGAUAUCAGGAGGAACACCGGUGGCGAAGGCGGCCUGCUGGACUGCGACUGACGUUGAGGCCCGAAAGCGUGGGGAGCAAACAGGAUUAGAUACCCCAGUAGUC
rnacentral:rRNA from 1 species